GACCUGAGCCGAAGGCAGAUGCUUAACGACUGAGCCACCCAGGUGCCCGUGGCAAGAAGUUGUUUAUUCAGAAUGGGUUCCACAGUGGAGUAUUCUCAUAUAAUUGAAUGUGCAGAUACUAUCAUUCAUAGACUUAAAAAUAUAUAGAUAAUAGUAAAUAUACAAACUCUUGGGCCAUUCUGAGUGGUACUGAUCAUUCCUUGAUGAUUUUAGAUAUUCAGUGCCUUUGACAGUAUCAUGAAUAGCUAUGGUUUUGUUAGGGACUUUGAAGUAUCUGGUUGCAUUAAGUUAAUAUUUGUUUAGAUUCUGGGGAAGGGGGAAAGACUUUAUUUAUAGUUGAAAAAUAAACUAUUAAUCUAUCCUAGAUUAUUACUUUUAGAUUAUAAAAGUUCUAAAUUAUAAAAGCCAUGGUUCCUGUACCAACAGUGUCAUUGACACAUACUGUGUGCUCCAUAAGUAUGUAUUUGUGAAUAAACAGUUGAAUGAAUAAAUGAAUGCCAUUGAUGAACUUCUUUAGAAGAAGCAGAUCUUUAGUUUAUUGAAAGUGGAUUUUCAAUAUUGCCUAGACCUGCAAAGAAAAGAUCUCAUGAAAAGAAAGAGGUCAAAAAGCAAAUGAAUUUUAUGGAUGACCUUGACUUAACUGAGUCAUCAGCUUCAGAG